UUACGGCCACAUCAAGUUGAAACACCGGUUACCGUACGAUCACCGAAGUUAAGCAACGUCGAGUCUGGUCACUACCUAGAUAGCUGACCGCUUGAGAAUACCGGAUGUUGUAAG